GGCUGGAUGGUGUAGUUGGUUAUCACGUAUCGUUCACACCGAUAAAGGUCCUGGGGAUCGAACCCCAGUCUAGUCA
rnacentral:tRNA from 1 species